AAAUAUUUAUACCGACUGAAUUAAGGAAAUUAUUUACUACUAUACAAAAUCGGAAUUAAAGCAUAUUCCUAAAAAAAAUCCGAUUAGAAUGAUUUGAUUAAAAAGAUUAAAGCAUGAAUAUUUACCUUGGCCACCACUACUUUCGUAACCUAAUCUUCCACGCCUAUAUAAACUCUUUAGCUUCACUUCUCAUCCCACCAUCAAACACACAAAGCCUUUUUAUUCUUCUACCGAAAUCGCAACAUCAAACACACAAAGCCUUCUGUAUCGCCAGGGCAUGGCGUAUUGAUAUUGGGUAGGGGUAUAUGCUUCUUUCUCGGCCUCAGAUUCCUUGUGCCCACCGCCACUGCGCGUGUUCUUCACCUGCAUUUAUAUUUCCAUUAUUCAGAUAUUAAUUACCAAUAAUGUAUUAGAUUGUGAAAAUAGUCUAAUUAUAUUAUUAAUCUGGGUUUGCAUGUGAAA